GGGUUGUGAGGUUAAGCGACUAAGCGUACACGGUGGAUGCCCUGGCAGUCAGAGGCGAUGAAGGGCGUACUAAUCUGCGAUAAGCGCCGGUAAGGUGAUAUGAACCGUUAUAACCGGCGAUACCCGAAUGGGGAAACCCAGUGUGAUUCGUCACACUAUCAUUAACUGAAUCCAUAGGUUAAUGAGGCGAACCGGGGGAACUGAAACAUCUAAGUACCCCGAGGAAAAGAAAUCAACCGAGAUUCCCCCAGUAGCGGCGAGCGAACGGGGAGGAGCCCAGAGCCUGAAUCAGCAUGUGUGUUAGUGGAAGCGUCUGGAAAGGCGCGCGAUACAGGGUGACAGCCCCGUACACAAAAGCGCAUGUGCUGUGAGCUCGAUGAGUAGGGCGGGACACGUGGUAUCCUGUCUGAAUAUGGGGGGACCAUCCUCCAAGGCUAAAUACUCCUGACUGACCGAUAGUGAACCAGUACCGUGAGGGAAAGGCGAAAAGAACCCCGGCGAGGGGAGUGAAAAAGAACCUGAAACCGUGUACGUACAAGCAGUGGGAGCACUGUGACUGCGUACCUUUUGUAUAAUGGGUCAGCGACUUAUAUUCUGUAGCAAGGUUAACCGAAUAGGGGAGCCGGAGGGAAACCGAGUCUUAAUUGGGCGUUAAGUUGCAGGGUAUAGACCCGAAACCCGGUGAUCUAGCCAUGGGCAGGUUGAAGGUUGGGUAACACUAACUGGAGGACCGAACCGACUAAUGUUGAAAAAUUAGCGGAUGACCUGUGGCUGGGGGUGAAAGGCCAAUCAAACCGGGAGAUAGCUGGUUCUCCCCGAAAGCUAUUUAGGUAGCGCCUCGUGAAUUCAUCUCCGGGGGUAGAGCACUGUUUCGGCUAGGGGGCCAUCCCGGCUUACCAACCCGAUGCAAACUGCGAAUACCGGAGAAUGUUAUCACGGGAGACACACGGCGGGUGCUAACGUCCGUCGUGAAGAGGGAAACAACCCAGACCGCCAGCUAAGGUCCCAAAGUCAUGGUUAAGUGGGAAACGAUGUGGGAAGGCCCAGACAGCCAGGAUGUUGGCUUAGAAGCAGCCAUCAUUUAAAGAAAGCGUAAUAGCUCACUGGUCGAGUCGGCCUGCGCGGAAGAUGUAACGGGGCUAAACCAUGCACCGAAGCUGCGGCAGCGACGUUUAUCGUUGUGGGUAGGGGUGCGAUCUGUAAGCCUUGCUGGAGGUAUCAGAAGUGCGAAUGCUGACAUAAGUAACGAUAAAGCGGGUGAAAAGCCCGCUCGCCGGAAGACCAAGGGUUCCUGUCCAACGUUAAUCGGGGCAGGGUGAGUCGACCCCUAAGGCGAGGCCGAAAGGCGUAGUCGAUGGGAAACGGGUUAAUAUUCCCGUACUUGGUGUUACUGCGAAGGGGGGACGGAGAAGGCUAUGUUGGCCGGGCGACGGUUGUCCCGGUUUAAGCGUGUAGGUGUGUGUUCCAGGUAAAUCCGGUUCACUUUAACACUGAGGCGUGACGACGAGGCACUACGGUGCUGAAGCAACAAAUGCCCUGCUUCCAGGAAAAGCCUCUAAGCAUCAGGUAACAUCAAAUCGUACCCCAAACCGACACAGGUGGUCAGGUAGAGAAUACCAAGGCGCUUGAGAGAACUCGGGUGAAGGAACUAGGCAAAAUGGUGCCGUAACUUCGGGAGAAGGCACGCUGACACGUAGGUGAAGUGAUUUACUCAUGGAGCUGAAGUCAGUCGAAGAUACCAGCUGGCUGCAACUGUUUAUUAAAAACACAGCACUGUGCAAACACGAAAGUGGACGUAUACGGUGUGACGCCUGCCCGGUGCCGGAAGGUUAAUUGAUGGGGUCAGCGCAAGCGAAGCUCCUGAUCGAAGCCCCGGUAAACGGCGGCCGUAACUAUAACGGUCCUAAGGUAGCGAAAUUCCUUGUCGGGUAAGUUCCGACCUGCACGAAUGGCGUAAUGAUGGCCAGGCUGUCUCCACCCGAGACUCAGUGAAAUUGAACUCGCUGUGAAGAUGCAGUGUACCCGCGGCAAGACGGAAAGACCCCGUGAACCUUUACUAUAGCUUGACACUGAACAUUGAGCCUUGAUGUGUAGGAUAGGUGGGAGGCUUUGAAGUGUGGACGCCAGUCUGCAUGGAGCCGACCUUGAAAUACCACCCUUUAAUGUUUGAUGUUCUAACGUGGACCCGUUACCCGGGUUGCGGACAGUGUCUGGUGGGUAGUUUGACUGGGGCGGUCUCCUCCUAAAGAGUAACGGAGGAGCACGAAGGUUGGCUAAUCCUGGUCGGACAUCAGGAGGUUAGUGCAAUGGCAUAAGCCAGCUUGACUGCGAGCGUGACGGCGCGAGCAGGUGCGAAAGCAGGUCAUAGUGAUCCGGUGGUUCUGAAUGGAAGGGCCAUCGCUCAACGGAUAAAAGGUACUCCGGGGAUAACAGGCUGAUACCGCCCAAGAGUUCAUAUCGACGGCGGUGUUUGGCACCUCGAUGUCGGCUCAUCACAUCUGGGGCUGAAGUAGGUCCCAAGGGUAUGGCUGUUCGCCAUUUAAAGUGGUACGCGAGCUGGGUUUAGAACGUCGUGAGACAGUUCGGUCCCUAUCUGCCGUGGGCGCUGGAGAACUGAGGGGGGCUGCUCCUAGUACGAGAGGACCGGAGUGGACGCAUCACUGGUGUUCGGGUUGUCAUGCCAAUGGCACUGCCCGGUAGCUAAAUGCGGAAGAGAUAAGUGCUGAAAGCAUCUAAGCACGAAACUUGCCCCGAGAUGAGUUCUCCCUGAGACUUUAGGUCUCCUGAAGGAACGUUGAAGACGACGACGUUGAUAGGCCGGGUGUGUAAGCGCAGCGAUGCGUUGAGCUAACCGGUACUAAUGAACCGUGAGGCUUAACCUUACAACGCCGAAG
rnacentral:rRNA from 1 species